GGACUCAUAGCUCAGUUGGUUAGAGCACCUGACUCAUAAUCAGGGGGUCCCUGGUUCAAACCCAGGUGGGUCCA
rfam:Bacteroidetes bacterium GWF2_33_38 gwf2_scaffold_437, whole genome shotgun sequence.